UACGGGGGGAGCAAGCGUUGUUCGGAUUUACUGGGCGUAAAGGGCGCGUAGGCGGCCAGCACAAGUCAGUUGUGAAAUCUCCGAGCUUAACUCGGAAAGGUCAACUGAUACUGUGCGGCUAGAGUGCGGAAGGGGCAACUGGAAUUCUUGGUGUAGCGGUGAAAUGCGUAGAUAUCAAGAGGAACACCUGCGGCGAAGGCGGGUUGCUGGGCCGACACUGACGCUGAUGCGCGAAAGCUAGGGGAGCGAAGCGGG
rnacentral:rRNA from 1 species